rnacentral:rRNA from 1 species
AUAUUUAAUAGAAAUAAUUAUUAAUAUAAUCUGCUCAAUGAUAAUUAAAUAGCCGCAGUUCACACUGUGCUAAGGUAGCAUAAUCACUUGUUUUUUAAUUAAAAACUAGAAUGAAAGAUUCAACAUUUCAACUAUUAUAUAAAAAUUUCAAUUUUGAAAUUUUUAUAAAUGUAAAAAAACAUUUAUUAAUAAGAAAGACGAUAAGACCCUAUCGAACUUAACUUUAGUUAAACUGGGGCAGUUUAAUAAUUAUUACUUAAUAAACAAUUUCACAUAAAUGACCUAAUUAAAUUAAUUUUAUAAAUAAGUUACCGUAGGGAUAACAGCGUAAUAAUUUUCUAUAGAUCUUAUAUAAAAAAAUGAUUACGACCUCGAUGUUGAAUUAAUUAUCUAUUACUUGUAAAAAUGUAAAAAGAAAGUCUGUUCGACUAUUAAAUAAUUA